ACUGCGGCUCACGCCAAGAACCGCAGUUUCUCCUUUCUGUGGUUUAAAUAGCGGUGCAAACAGCAAGGGAAUCUCGUCGCCUUUGGGGUGUAGUGCAAUGCCCCUCAGAAUGAAGGUGGAGGUUACACACAC
rnacentral:snoRNA from 1 species